rnacentral:rRNA from 1 species
CCUACGGGAGGCAGCAGUAGGGAAUCUUCCACAAUGGACGAAAGUCUGAUGGAGCAACGCCGCGUGAGUGAAGAAGGGUUUAGGCUCGUAAAGCUCUGUUGGUAGUGAAGAAAGAUAGAGGUAGUAACUGGCCUUGAUUUUACGGUAAUUUCUUAGAACGUCACGGCUAACUACGUGCCAGCAGCCGCGGUAAUACGUAGGUGGCAAGCGUUGUCCGGCUUUGUUGGGAUGAAAGCGAGUGCAGGUGGUUCAAUAAGUCUGUUGUGAAAGCCUUCGGCUCAACCGGAGAAUUGCAUCAGAAAGUGUGGAACUUGAGUACAGAUGAGGAGAGUGGAACUCCAGGUGUAGCGGUGGAAUGCGUAGAUAUAUGGAAGAACACCAGUGGCGAAGGCGGCUCUCUGGUCUGCAACUGACGCUGAGGCUCGAAAGCAUGGGUAGCGAACAGGAUUAGAUACCCGAGUAGUC